GAACGGGAGGCUUGCUUGCUCCAGUGAAGGAGGAAGCCAAGCUUCCCGCCUUCCCUGGCCAGCUCUGGCCUCCGCUCAAGGCAACAAAGUUUCAAUUAUAGAAGACAAAUAAACCCCAGA